UACGUAGGGGGCAAGCGUUGUCCGGAAUCAUUGGGCGUAAAGAGCGUGUAGGCGGCUUGGUAAGUCCGCUGUGAAAGUCCAGGGCUCAACCCUGGAAUGCCGGUGGAAACUGUCAGGCUCGAGUCCGGAAGAGGCGAGUGGAAUUCCUGGUGUAGCGGUGAAAUGCGCAGAUAUCAGGAGGAACACCAGUGGCGAAGGCAGGCUCGUGGGC
rnacentral:rRNA from 1 species